UACGUAGGAGGCGAGCGUUGUCCGGAUUUACUGGGCGUAAAGAGCGCGCAGGCGGCAUGUCAAGUAAGGUGUGAAAUCUCCCUGCUCAACGGGGAGGGUGCAUUUUAGACUGGCAAGCUAGAGGACGGUAGAGGGGGGUAGAAUUGCUGGUGUAGCGGUGAAAUGCGUAGAGAUCAGCAGGAAUACCCGUGGCGAAGGCGGCCCCCUGGGCCGAACCUGACGCUGAGGCGCGAAGGCUAGGGGAGCGAACGGG
rnacentral:rRNA from 1 species